rnacentral:rRNA from 1 species
GUGGGGAAUAUUGGACAAUGGGGGGAACCCUGAUCCAGCCAUGCCGCGUGUGUGAAGAAGGCCUUUUGGUUGUAAAGCACUUUAAGCGAGGAGGAGGCUACCGAGAUUAAUACUCUUGGAUAGUGGACGUUACUCGCAGAAUAAGCACCGGCUAACUCUGUGCCAGCAGCCGCGGUAAUACAGAGGGUGCAAGCGUUAAUCGGAUUUACUGGGCGUAAAGCGCGCGUAGGGGGCCAAUUAAGUCAUAUGUGAAAUCCCCGAGCUUAACUUGGGAAUGGCAUUCGAUGCUGGUUGGCUAGAGUAUGGGAGAGGAUGGUAGAAUUCCAGGUGUAGCGGUGAAAUGCGUAGAGAUCUGGAGGAAUACCGAUGGCGAAGGCAGCCAUCUGGCCUAAUACUGACACUGAGGUGCGAAAGCAUGGGGAGCAAACAGGAUUAGAUACCCUAGUAGUCC